AGAGUUUGAUCCUGGCUCAGAUUGAACGCUGGCGGCAUGCCUUACACAUGCAAGUCGAACGGUAACGCGGGGCAACCUGGCGACGAGUGGCGAACGGGUGAGUAACGCAUCGGAACGUGCCCAGUAGUGGGGGAUAGCCCGGCGAAAGCCGGAUUAAUACCGCAUACGACCUACGGGUGAAAGCGGGGGACCGUAAGGCCUCGCGCUAUUGGAGCGGCCGAUGUCAGAUUAGGUAGUUGGUGGGGUAAAAGCCUACCAAGCCGACGAUCUGUAGCUGGUCUGAGAGGACGACCAGCCACACUGGGACUGAGACACGGCCCAGACUCCUACGGGAGGCAGCAGUGGGGAAUUUUGGACAAUGGGCGCAAGCCUGAUCCAGCCAUGCCGCGUGCGGGAUGAAGGCCUUCGGGUUGUAAACCGCUUUUGUCAGGGAAGAAACGCUCCGGGCCAAUACCCUGNGGUAAUGACGGUACCUGAAGAAUAAGCACCGGCUAACUACGUGCCAGCAGCCGCGGUAAUACGUAGGGUGCAAGCGUUAAUCGGAAUUACUGGGCGUANAGCGUGCGCAGGCGGUUUUGUAAGACAGAGGUGAAAUCCCCGGG
rnacentral:rRNA from 1 species